GUUUACUCCAACACUCAACUCUUUAAAUUGCCCCAAAAAAACCUAUCUUUUUCCUCUUCAUCUACACCAAACUCAACCCCCCCAAUGGCUCAUUCUUGCAUAGCCACAACUUCAUCUCUCUCUAAAUACAAUUCCGCAAUUUUCCCAUCUGAUUAUUGCAAUAUUUCUCCCAUAUCUCUACAGUUUAAACGUCUUUCUUUGAGGAAAGUAAAGGCUGUUGGGAAAGUGAAAAGUAGGGGAAAUAGCACCGUCAAGGCUGUGUAUUCUGGAGGUGACUGGGAUUUAGCAAAGGCUUCACGUUCUUCUGGAAUUUGGUCUAUCAGAGAUGACGUGCAAAUACCAUCAUCACCUUAUUUUCCUACAUAUGCCGCCCAAGGUCAAGGACCACCGCCAAUGGUACAAGAACGAUUUCAGAGUGUGAUCAGCCAGCUCUUUCAAUAUAGGAUCAUACGAUGUGGUGGAGCAGUUGAUGAUGAUAUGGCUAAUGUCAUAGUUGCUCAGCUUCUUUAUCUUGAUGCUGUUGAUCCCACAAAGGACAUUGUUAUGUAUGUCAAUUCUCCAGGAGGGUCAGUAACAGCAGGAAUGGCUGUUUUUGAUACCAUGCGACAUAUUCGACCCGAUGUCUCAACUGUCUGUGUUGGACUCGCUGCAAGUAUGGGGGCUUUUCUUCUCAGUGCUGGCACUAAAGGGAAGAGAUAUAGCUUGCCAAAUUCAAGGAUAAUGAUUCACCAGCCUCUAGGUGGUGCUCAAGGUGGUCAAAGUGAUAUAGAAAUACAGGCUAAUGAGAUGUUGCAUCACAAAGCAAAUUUGAAUGGUUACCUUGCCUACCAGACUGGUCAAAGCCUUGAUAGGAUUAAUCAGGAUACUGAUCGUGAUUUUUUCAUGAGCGCAAAGGAAGCUAAGGAGUACGGGCUAAUCGAUGGUGUCAUCAUGAAUCCAAUGAAAGCCCUUCAACCACUUGCAGCAGCUGCUGAACAAUCGUAGUUGUAUUGCAAGGAAGGUUAAUUUUCUACCUAUCAUUUUGUUUCUCAUUAAUACACUCGUCUUUAGAGAUUGUAAUUGAUUUUACUAAGUUGGGUAGACACAACAUUCCUGCUGCCAGGAAGAAAAUGUAUGCCAAAAUUUUUACUUGUUGGGAAAGAGUGUAAUGUACCUGCCCAGAUCUUAU
rnacentral:misc_RNA from 1 species